AUUGAACGCUGGCGGAAUGCCUAACACAUGCAAGUCGAGCGGGAGUAGCAAUACUUCAGCGGCGGACGGGUGAGGAACACAUAGGAAUCUGCCUUUAGGUGGGGGAUAGCCAGGGGAAAAUCUGGGUAAUACCGCAUGACCUCGAGAGAGCAAAGGGGCGCAAGUCUCGCCUGUAGAGGAGCCUAUGUCUGAUUAGCUAGUUGGCGGUGUAAUUGACCACCAAGGCGAUGAUCAGUAACUGGUCUGAGAGGACGAUCAGUCACACCGGAACUGAGACACGGUCCGGACUCCUACGGGAGGCAGCAGUGGGGAAUAUUGGACAAUGGGCGAAAGCCUGAUCCAGCAAUUCCGCGUGUGUGAAGAAGGCCUUCGGGUUGUAAAGCACUUUAGUUGGGGAAGAAACAGCUUGGCCACACCAAGCCUUGACGGUACCCAAAGAAUAAGCACCGGCUAACUCUGUGCCAGCCGCCGCAGUAAGAC
rnacentral:rRNA from 1 species